GACGAACGCUGGCGGCGUGCCUAAUACAUGCAAGUAGAACGCAGUUGCGAACGGGUGAGUAACGCGUAGGUAACUGCCUCAUAGCGGGGGAUAACUAUUGGAAACGAUAGCUAAUACCGCAUCCUGUGAGAUGGACCUGCGUUGUAUUAGCUAGUUGGUGAGGUAAAGGCUCACCAAGGCGCCGAUACAUAGCCGGGCUGGGAGGGUGAUCGGCAAAAAUGGGACGGGGACAAGGCCCAGACUCCUACGGGAGGCAGCAGGAGGGGAUCAUCGGAAAUGGGCGGAAGGCUGAACGAGCAACGCCGCGGGAGGGAAGGAGGGUUUCGGAUCGUAAAGCUAUGUUGUUAGAGAAGCGGUAACUAAACAGAAAGGGACGGCUAACUACGUGCCAGCAGCCGCGGUAAUAC
rnacentral:rRNA from 1 species